rnacentral:rRNA from 1 species
UUGAACGCUGGCGGCAUGCCUUACACAUGCAAGUCGAACGGUAACAGGGAGCUUGCUCCGCUGACGAGUGGCGAACGGGUGAGUAAUAUAUCGGAACGUACCUUUGAGUGGGGGAUAACUNGUCGAAAGACUAGCUAAUACCGCAUACGAUCUACGGAUGAAAGUGGGGGAUCGCAAGACCUCAUGCUCAUAGAGCGGCCGAUAUCUGAUUAGCUAGUUGGUGAGGUAAAGGCUCACCAAGGCAUCGAUCAGUAGCUG